rnacentral:rRNA from 1 species
UACGAAGGGUGCAAGCGUUACUCGGAAUUACUGGGCGUAAAGCGUGCGUAGGUGGUUUGUUAAGUCUGUUGUGAAAGCCCCGGGCUCAACCUGGGAAUGGCAAUGGAUACUGGCAGGCUAGAGUGCGGUAGAGGGUAGUGGAAUUCCCGGGUGUAGCGGUGAAAUGCGUAGAGAUCGGGGAGGAACACCAGUGGCGAAGGCAGCUCGCUGGGACGUUACUGACGCUGAGACGCGAAAGCGUGGGGGAGCAAACAGG